rnacentral:tRNA from 1 species
AAGAUUAUAAUUUAAUAAAAAUAUUUGAUUUGCAUUCAAAAAAUAUUGAAACUCAAUUUAUCUUA